rnacentral:lncRNA from 1 species
UCAAAUAAACCUGUGCUACCAAAAUGAAUCAAUAAAAUAGUUUUAAGAGACUCUUCCUUGGGCACCGAGCAACAUAGGCUUAUUCAUACAGGUCAGCAGGUUUGCUCUAGUGGGAAGCAGAUCUAUACCUCCUACUACCAGAAAACAAAACAGGCCGGAUGCCUGCUCUUUCUGAUAUAUUGCAUCUAAAUCUCAGCCAAACAGGUGAUCCUGUCUGGAAUUUAAUUCAAGAAUGAGUAACAUAAAAAGUAGGGUGCUCUAAACAGCAGUUUUCAGAAUGUUGUUCAGGAAACCCUG